rnacentral:rRNA from 1 species
GAUGAACGCUGGCGGCGUGCCUAAUACAUGCAAGUCGAGCGAACAGACGAGGAGCUUGCUCCUCUGACGUUAGCGGCGGACGGGUGAGUAACACGUGGAUAACCUACCUAUAAGACUGGGAUAACUUCGGGAAACCGGAGCUAAUACCGGAUAAUAUAUUGAACCGCAUGGUUCAAUAGUGAAAGACGGUUUUGCUGUCACUUAUAGAUGGAUCCGCGCCGCAUUAGCUAGUUGGUAAGGUAACGGCUUACCAAGGCAACGAUGCGUAGCCGACCUGAGAGGGUGAUCAGCCACACUGGAACUGAGACACGGUCCAGACUCCUACGGGAGGCAGCAGUAGGGAAUCUUCGGCAAUGGGCGAAAGCCUGACGGAGCAACGCCGCGUGAGUGAAGAAGGUCUUCGGAUCGUAAAACUCUGUUAUUAGGGAAGAACAAAUGUGUGAGUAACUAUGCACGUCUUGACGGUACCUAAACAGAAAGCCACGGCUAACUACGUG